AGAGUUUGAUCCUGGCUCAGAUUGAACGCUGGCGGCAUGCCUUACACAUGCAAGUCGAACGGCAGCACGGGCUUCGGCCUGGUGGCGAGUGGCGAACGGGUGAGUAAUACAUCGGAACAUGUCCUGUAGUGGGGGAUAGCCCGGCGAAAGCCGGAUUAAUACCGCAUACGAUCU
rnacentral:rRNA from 1 species